CACGUAGUUAGCCGUGACUUUCUGGUUGGAUACCGUCACUGCGUGAACAGUUACUCUCACGCACGUUCUUCUCCAACAACAGAGCUUUACGAGCCGAAACCCUUCUUCACUCACGCGGUGUUGCUCCAUCAGGCUUGCGCCCAUUGUGGAAGACUUCCCUACUGCUGCCUCCCGUAGGAGUAUGGACCGUGUCUCAGUUCUAUUGUGGCCGAUCAGUCUCUCAACUCGGCUAUGCAUCAUCGCCUUGGUAAGCCGUUACCUUACCAACUAGCUAAUGCACCGCAGGUCCAUCCCGGAGUGAUAGCCAAAGCCAUCUUUACAAACAAAAGCCAUGUGGCUUUUGUUGUUAUGCGGUAUUAGCAUCUGUUUCCAAAUGUUACUCCCCCGCUACCGGGGCAGGUUACCUACGUCGUUACUCACCCGUUCCGCCACUCACUGGUGAUCCAACGUCAAUCAAGUGCAAGCACAUCAAUCAGUUCGGCCAGUGCGUAGUAC
rnacentral:rRNA from 1 species